CGUCUGUAUUUUAUAACAAACACAUUUUUUCCCAAAGUAGUAGUCAAGCAGCAACUGAAGUUUCUUAUUUCACUCCAUUUGGCCUGAUAUGUUACACACAGACUCUUCUGCCAGUUUAGCACUAACAAGCUAGAUGCUUUUGCCAUUGUUGCUUUUUCCAGCAGUAUUUUAGGGAAAGGAUCAGUUAAGAGAUAUGGUGUCAUCCAGAAUACGUUCACGUGUGAAUAGUGUGAAAAAACAUUCAGAUUUUAGGAAGUUUUGCUAUUGUUGGCUUUCUUACUGGUGUUACAUUAGGCAGAUGUGGCAAUGAUUUUGCUUUCAGACAGCUGUCACUUUAUGUAAGAUACACUGAGUGUUCAGCUAUGCCAGAAAGAGCUUACCAGUUCCCAUUUUAAUGUCUGUGCCAUAAUACGCUGGGGAAGUCAGAGGCGUCCACGCUCCACGGCUUGUCAUAGAACGUACAUCUCCUGACAUGCGCCGGGCUUAUACCUGAGUUGUAGUUGGUUUCAAGGCACCUUCUUACAUUGCAAAAAACCAAACAUACACAGUUUGAUCUGAAACAAGAAAAUGUUAAGUCACCUCUCUGUGUUAACUUCCUGCAAGGACGUUGCUUCACCUGAAGUAUUUUAAUAAAAUAAGGACCUCAUUUUUUUUUUUAAAGCUCUUUUUUUUGACUAAUAGUUUUUGUACCACUGGAAGCAAAAUCCAAAAUUCCUUGGAUAUUUCCAAUUAGAGCUUCAAUAGAAACUUAUGUUCAUAUUCCUGGGUCCAUUUGUAUUAAAUAGAAAUGAAAGUCAACAUGAAAAUAAAUACAACUAUAAGUAUUUUAGGAAGUCCUCUUCAGUGGCUUUAGCAGGUUUGGGCUGUUGGCUCGCUGGCCGAAACAGUAGAAAAUAGUCCCUCUGUGGGUGUAACACCUUGUGUACGAGAAGGACACACUAUUCAUAAGCAGUCACUGCUUUCCAGCUUUCGUGCUUUCACCCAGAGGGAACAAAGACAAUAGAUUUGUUCCAGAUUCUAUAAUUAGACACAUACAAACAAUACUUUUAUUCCAAAGCUCUGGUUUGAUUAGCUGCUUUUCACACAAGACUCAGCAUACCAACAAAAAUUGCAAUGUUAGAACAGACCGUUGGUGCCUCCAAUCUGUCACACUGUUUUUGUUAGCAACCACUGCUUUCUGCUUCAGAGAAAAAUGAAGAACCUUCAUAAUAAACCAAAUGAAUCACAUGAUGUUAUAAAUGGGGAAGUCGAAAGCAUGCUUGCUAAUCUAUUUUUCCCCCUCCUACCUUCUGCUGAUACUAAUUGGUAUUCUAUGCUGCAGCACACACACGGAAGAAGUGCAUGCCUCUCACAAACCUCUGGUUUAAAUCAGGAAAAACAGUGUAUUUUUAACACAUUACUUCAGAUUUCAGAGUUUUAAUGUAAACAAAAGUUGUUGUUUCAACGUACUCGUCAGUAAAGAUAACAUCAUUCAACGAACAUUUUAAAACCAUUAUUGGCUUACCUUGAGAUUUUAAGAUGUGUAAGCUAACCUCCAUAAACAGGCCAAACCCAUAGAUUUUCCAUAGCGUAGACAAAGACUGACAGAACCAGUAAGAGUUCUUUAAAGAAAAAUAGAUGCCCUGGCUGUAACAAUCUCUUGGAUUUACCACUAGAGAUACUGACUUUAAAGAGGGUUUGGGAUUUAAUUUGUUCAAAAAUGUUCACUUACCAAAAACAAGGGGAUGUCCUUUAUUUUAAAAAUGCGCAUGUGCUAUCUCUGCAAAAAUCUUAACGCUCAGAAAAAAGUUUGUUUUCAAAUUAUUUGUACAGACUUCUUCCGAUUUAGCAGCUGAAUUUGCAAAA